rnacentral:rRNA from 1 species
GACAGAGGGUGCAAACGUUGUUCGGAAUUAUUGGGCGUAAAGAGCUCGUAGGCGGUGUGUCGCGUCGGCCGUGAAAACCUGCAGCUUAACUGUGGGCUUGCGGUCGAUACGGGCAUCACUGGAGUUCGGCAGGGGAGACUGGAAUCCUGGUGUAGCGGUGAAAUGCGCAGAUAAUCAGGAGGAACACCGGUGGCGAAGGGCGGGGUCUCUGGGCCGAUACUGACGCUGGAGGAGCGAAAGCGUGGGGAGCGAAC